UUAAGAAUCUUGCACAAUGGGCGCAAGCCUGAUGCAGCGACGCCGCGUGAAUGAUGAAGGCCUUCGGGUUGUAAAGUUCAGUAAGCAGGGAAGAAUAAGCGCCGGGUAAUAUUCGGUGUGAUGACGGUACCUGCCUAAAGCCCCGGCUAACUACGUGCCAGCAGCCGCGGUAAUACGUAUGGGGCGAGCGUUGUUCGGAAUUAUUGGGCGUAAAGGGCGUCUAGGCGGGGAUUUAAGUUAGGUGUGAAAGCUAUGGGCUCAACCCAUAAACUGCACCUAAAACUGGAUCUCUGGAGUUCGGGAGAGGAGAGCGGAAUUCCAGGUGUAGCGGUGAAAUGCGUAGAUAUCUGGAAGAACACCAGUGGCGAAGGCGGCUCUCUGGCCUAGGACUGACGCUGAAGCGCGAAAGCGUGGGGAGCGAACA
rnacentral:rRNA from 1 species